rnacentral:rRNA from 1 species
UGAGUACGAGGUGCUACGGCAUCGAAGCAGUCUGUGUCAUACUUCCAAGAAAAGCUUGCACUGUCAGAAACAGAUAAUGCCUGUACCAUAACCGACACAGGUGGGUAGGUAGAGUAUACUAAGGGGCGCGAGAUAACUCUCUCUAAGGAACUCGGCAAAAUGACUCCGUAACUUCGGGAGAAGGAGUGCCUUAUUUAUAAGGUUGCAAUAACAAGAUCCAAGCAACUGUUUAUCAAAAACACAGGUCUCCGCUAAGUCGUAAGACGAUGUAUGGGGGCUGACGCCUGCCCAGUGCCAGAAGGUUAAAGAAGUUGGUUAGUGUAUGCGAAGCUGAUGACUGAAGCCCUGGUGAACGGCGGCCGUAACAAUAACGGUCCUAAGGUAGCGAAAUUCCUUGUCGGGUAAGUUCCGACCCGCACGAAAGGCGUAAUGAUUUGGAUACUGUCUCGGAGAGAGGCUCGGUGAAAUAGACUUGUCUGUGAAGAUGCGGACUACCUGCACCAGGACAGAUAGACCCUAUGAAGCUUUACUGUAACUUGAAAUUGGAAUUGGACUUUGCUUGCGCAGUAUAGGUGGGAAGCGUUGAAGAUAUUCUUGCGGGAGUAUUGGAGCUAUCAGUGAGAUACCACUCUUGUAAUGUUAGAUUUCUAACUUUGAACCAUAAUCUGGUCAAAGAACAGUUUCAGGUGGGCAGUUUGACUGGGGCGGUCGCCUCCCAAAUGGUAACGGAGGCGUACAAAGGUUUCCUCUGAACGGAUAGAAAUCGUAUCUAGAGUGUAAAGGCAUAAGGAAGCUUGACUGUGAGACCUACAAGUCGAGCAGGGACGAAAGUCGGUCUUAGUGAUCUGACGGUACUGAGUGGAAAGGCCGUCACUCAACGGAUAAAAGUUACUCUAGGAUAACAGGCUGAUCUCCCCCAAGAGUUCACAUCGACGGGGAGGUUUGGCACCUCGAUGUCGGCUCAUCGCAUCCUGGGGCGGUAGUACGUCCCAAGGGUUGGGCUGUUCGCCCAUGAAAGCGGUACGCGAGCUGGGUUCAGAACGUCGUGAGACAGUUCGGUCCAUAUCCGGUGUAGGCGUUAGAAUAUUGAGAGGAGCCUUCUUUAGUACGAGAGGACCGAGAAGGACACACCGCUGGUGUACCAGUUAUCGCGCCAACGGUAAACGCUGGGUAGCUAUGUGUGGAGUGGAUAACCGCUGAAAGCAUCUAAGUGGGAAGCCCACCUCAAGAUGAGUAUUCUC